rnacentral:rRNA from 1 species
GAGACAGCAGCCGCCGCGGGAAUACGGAGGAUCCAAGCGUUAUCCGGAAUCAUUGGGUUUAAAGGGUCCGUAGGCGGUCUUGUAAGUCAGUGGUGAAAGCCCAUCGCUCAACGGUGGAACGGCCAUUGAUACUGCAGGACUUGAAUUAUUGGGAAGUAACUAGAAUAUGUAGUGUAGCGGUGAAAUGCUUAGAGAUUACAUGGAAUACCAAUUGCGAAGGCAGGUUACUACCAAUUGAUUGACGCUGAUGGACGAAAGCGUGGGUAGCGAACAGGAUUAGAGACCCCUGUAGUCCCUGUCUCUUAUAC